rnacentral:rRNA from 1 species
UCCACGCCGUAAACGAUGGGUACUAGCUAUACUGGGUGUUGACCCCCGGUGUGGCGUAGCUAACGCGUUAAGUACCCCGCCUGGGGAGUACGGCCGCAAGGCUAAAACUCAAAGGAAUUGACGGGGGCCCGCACAAGCGGUGGAGCAUGUGGUUUAAUUCGACGCAACGCGCAGAACCUUACCCGGUCUUGACAUCCCAGGAACUCUCCUGAAAGGGAGAGGUGCCCUUCGGG